GGUCAAGUUAAAAUUAAGCGCACACGGUGGCUGCCUUGGCGAUAACAGGUGAUGAAGGACGUGGUAGUCUGCGAUAAGCUUCGGUGAACCGACAAACAGGUGUUGACCCGGAGAUUUCCGAAUGGGGAAACCUAUCUCGUAUCAGAGAUAUUUACAUUUGAAUUUAUAGGAUGUGAAGGCGAACCUAGGGAACUGAAACAUCUAAGUACCUAGAGGAAAAGAAAUCAAUAGAGAUUCCGUUAGUAGCGGCGAGCGAACAUGGAGUAGCCCAGUCACAUCAAGCUUGAUUUUCUUAGCAAAAUGAUUUGGAAAAGUCAGUGAUACAGGGUGAUAGCCCCGUAUGCGAAAAGAUUGUCAAGUGGGUGACUAAAGAGUAAGACGAGACACGUGUUAUCUUGUUUGAAAAAAUUUCUUCCUUUAAAGGAAGAAAAGGGGGGACCAUCCUCCAAGGCUAAAUACUCGUUAUCGACCGAUAGUGAACUAGUACCGUGAGGGAAAGGUGAAAAGAACCCUUGUAGGGGAGUGAAAUAGAACCUAAAACCGUGUGCGUACAAGCAGUGGAAGCAUAGUUUUUAGCUAUGUGACUGCGUACCUUUUGUAUAAUGGGUCAGCGACUUACUUUCAGUGGCAAGCUUAACCGAUUAGGGAAGGCAUAGGGAAACCGAGUCUGAAUAGGGCUAAUGAGUCGCUGGGAGUAGACCCGAAACCGGGCGAUCUAUCCAUGGUCAGGGUGAAGAUAGGGUAAUUCUUAUUGGAGGCCCGAACCCACCGUCGUUGAAAAGCCGGGGGAUGAAUUGUGGAUAGGAGUGAAAGGCUAAUCAAGCCCGGAGAUAGCUGGUUCUCCUCGAAAACUAUUUAGGUAGUGCCUCAUUUUUUACUCACGGGGGUAGAGUACUGUUACGGCUAGAGGCUCUCCUCGAGUUAUCAAACCGUUGCAAACUCCGAAUACCGUGAAGUAUAAUUAUGGGAGACACACGGCGGGUGCUAAGGUCCGUCGUGGAAAGGGAAACAGCCCAGACCACCAGCUAAGGUCCCAAAAUCAUGACUCAGUGGGAAACGAUGUGGGAAGGCUUAGACAGCCAGGAAGUUGGCUUAGAAGCAGCCAUCUUUUAAAGAAAGCGUAAUAGCUCACUGGUCAAGUCGGCUUGCGCGGAAGAUUUAACGGGGCUUAAGUCAUGUACCGAAGCUGUGGAUAUAGCUACAGGUUUAUUAUUGUGGUAGAUACUCUUCGAUUUAUUUUUGAGUAUAAUAUGGUAGAGGAGCGUUCUGUAGGCCAGUGAAGGUAUAUUGUGAAAUAUACUGGAGGUAUCAGAAGUGCGAAUGCUGACAUGAGUAGCGAUAAUGAAUGUGAAAAACAUUCACGCCGAAAGUCCAAGGUUUCCUCGCGCAACGUUAAUCGGCGCAGGGUAAGUCGGCACCUAAGGCGAGGCAGAAAUGCGUAGUCGAUGGAAAACAGGUUAAUAUUCCUGUACUUUGUGUUAUUGCGAUGGGGGGACGGAGAAGGCUAGACCAGCCGGAGAUUGGUUGUUUCGGUUUAAGGCAGUAGACAGAGAAUUUAGGCAAAUCCGGAUUCUUGAAUAAUGUUGAGAGCUGAUGACGAAGUCUUUAUUUAUUAAAGUACUGAAGUGGUUGAUGCCAUGCUUCCAAGAAAAACCUCUAAGCUUCAGAUAACAUAAAACCGUACCCUAAACCGACACAGGUGGACAGGGUGAGAAUCCUAAGGCGCUUGAGAAAACUCGGGUGAAGGAACUAGGCAAAAUAGCACCGUAACUUCGGGAGAAGGUGUACCUUUGGUACGUGAAGGGACUUGCUCCCAGAGCGGAAGAGGGUUGCAGUGAUUAGGUGGCUGCGACUGUUUAUUAAAAACAUAGCACUCUGCAAACACGAAAGUGGAUAUAUAGGGUGUGACGCCUGCCCGGUGCCGGAAGGUUAAGUGAAAUAGUUAGUUGUUAAGACGAAGCUGUUGAUUGAAGCCCCGGUAAACGGCGGCCGUAACUAUAACGGUCCUAAGGUAGCGAAAUUCCUUGUCGGGUAAGUUCCGACCUGCACGAAUGGCGUAACGAUGGCCACACUGUCUCCACCCGAGACUCAGCGAAAUUGAAUUUGCUGUUAAGAUGCAGUGUACCCGCGGCUAGACGGAAAGACCCCGUGAACCUUUACUACAACUUUACACUGGACUUUGAACCUGUUUGUGUAGGAUAGGUGGGAGGCUUAGAAACAAGGACGCUAGUUCUUGUGGAGCUAUCCUUGAAAUACCACCCUGGCAUGUUCGGGGUUCUAACUUAGACCCGUUAUCCGGGUUGAGAACAGUGUAUGGUGGGUAGUUUAACUGGGGCGGUUUCCUCAAAAUGGGGCAUUUUGGCGGUAACGUCAAAAGUGAAUUUGGCUAUAUGCUGGAAAAUCCGUUCCCUUUAUUUUAUAAAGGGCUAGAGUAUUUGGCAAUUGAAAAUGAAAAAAUGUGACCAAUGCGGAUUAUCAGCAGGGAAGUUUUAUUAUAUUUGUGAAAAGAAACCCCUCAACGACUACACGCCAAACAUCCUUAAAUCCUUUAAGGAUGGUGAUAUAGUCUGAACUCUUAGGCGACUAAGAGCCGAUUUUCAUCGGAAUCUUGAUUUGAUGGUGAUGGUAAAAUGAGCAAGCAAGAAUUUGAGAAAUUUAAAACAGGACUUAAACUCUCAAAAAAACAACGAGAGAUUUUAGUAGGUAUUUUUUUGGGGAGUGCCUGUUUGGAAAUGUCAAAUUAUGAAAAUAAUACUUAUCGAGUACUCAUAGAACAGAAUGAGAAGCAUAGUGAAUAUGUUUUUCAUCUCUAUAAUUUGUUUAAAGGUUGGGUGUUGAUACCACCGCAAGAAAGGGUGAGGGUGGUGUCUGAAAUUAGGAAUGAGAAGAGGUUGGUUUUUAACACUAUUAGUCAUGCCUCGUUUCGUUUUUAUGCUCAUCAGUUUUAUGGGAAAGAUGGAGAAAAGAAAAUACCUAAGUUAAUUCAUCGCUGGUUAACCCCAGUGAAUUUGGCUUAUUGGUAUAUGGAAGAAGGUUCCAUCAAUUUUUCUCAGGGAAAGUCAGAGGGUAUUAUUUUGGGAACCCAUUCUUGUGUAAGUUCAGAAGUUAAUCAGCUAAUACAGACGUUAGAGUUUGUAUUUGGUUUACGAGCGAAAAUGUGUAAACGGCAAAAGCAGUACAGAAUUCUGAUUUCAAAAGAAUCUAGUAGGCGUUUUUUUGAGUGGGUUAGGCCGUAUAUAUCUGAUUUAAUACCAUAUAAAAUGCCAUUGUUGAGAUUAACAUAAUUGCCAAAAAAGUAACGGAGGAGUGCGAAGGUACCCUCAGCACGGUCGGAAAUCGUGCAAUGAGUGCAAAGGCAUAAGGGUGCUUAACUGUGAGACAGACAAGUCGAACAGAUACGAAAGUAGGCCUUAGUGAUCCGGUGGUUCUGAAUGGAAGGGCCAUCGCUCAACGGAUAAAAGGUACUCCGGGGAUAACAGGCUGAUUCCUCCCAAGAGUUCACAUCGACGGGGGAGUUUGGCACCUCGAUGUCGGCUCAUCACAUCCUGGGGCUGUAGUCGGUCCCAAGGGUAUGGCUGUUCGCCAUUUAAAGUGGUACGCGAGCUGGGUUUAGAACGUCGUGAGACAGUUCGGUCCCUAUCUGCCGUGGGCGUUGGAAAUUUGAGAAGAGCUGCUCCUUGUACGAGAGGAUCGGAGUGGACGUACCUCUGGUGUGCCAGUUAUCAUGCCAAUGGUAUAGCUGGGUAGCUAUGUACGGACGGGAUAACCGCUGAAAGCAUCUAAGCGGGAAGCCUCCUUCAAGAUUAGAUUUCCCGACAUUAAAUAUGUCCUCAAGGUUCGUUAAAGACUAUGACGUUGAUAGGCGGGGUGUGGAAGUACAGUAAUGUAUGAAGCUAACCCGUACUAAUUGACCGUGUGACUUGACCCU
rnacentral:rRNA from 1 species